GGCCUACGGGAGGCAGCAGUGGGGAAUCUUGGACAAUGGGGGCAACCCUGAUCCAGCCAUGCCGCGUGUGUGAAGAAGGCCUUCGGGUUGUAAAGCACUUUCAGUAGGGAGGAAGGCUUAUCCUUAAUACGGAUGAGUACUUGACGUUACCUACAGAAGAAGCACCGGCUAAUUUCGUGCCAGCAGCCGCGGUAAU
rnacentral:rRNA from 1 species